rnacentral:lncRNA from 1 species
AGUAUGGCUUCUUUGGCGUUCUUUGGUUCAAUUUGGGAUAUAAAUGCUGAGAAAGCACACAUAUUUUGUGCUUUUCUUCUUGUAAUAACUUUGUCAUUUAUGUUUCCAAUGAUGUUCUCAGGAGGAUGGUUUUUGAUGUAUCUUGCUGAUUUUGGAAGUUGAAUAUCAUGUAUUACUUCUUCAGUAUAUUCCGAAUUAUGGUUUUAUUGUUCAUCCAUUUCAGCUUGUUGGAUAUG